rnacentral:rRNA from 1 species
UACGGGGGGAGCAAGCGUUGUUCGGAAUUACUGGGCGUAAAGGGCUUGUAGGUGGCCAACUAAGUCAGACGUGAAAUCCCUCGGCUUAACCGGGGAACUGCGUCUGAUACUGGAUGGCUUGAGUGUGGGAGAGGGAUGCGGAAUUCCAGGUGUAGCGGUGAAAUGCGUAGAUAUCUGGAGGAACACCGGUGGCGAAGGCGGCAUCCUGGACCAUUACUGACACUGAAAAGCGAAAGCCAGGGGAGCAAACGGG